CUGUGGGAACAGGCAGGGCUUCUAUAAAGCCAGGGUGCUGAUAGCAGGAAGGAGGCUGCAGGGAGGUAGUCUAGUCACUCCCUAGGAGAAGUGUUUGGAGGCUAAAGAGACAAGUAGCCCCUAAUUGCUUCUUGGGAGGAGGGAGUAGAAAGGCCUGCAAACCCCAAGCAGAGGGGAGUGCCAGGAUAGGAAGCAGCCUAGGGAGUGAGCAGCAAGGUUGGGGACUGAACAGACCUUGGCUGCAUGUUGUUGGGUCCCUGGGCUGAAACCCAGCAGAGAGGGUGGGUCCAGGGUCCCCUGCUUGCCACUGUGGAAAUGGCACUGUUGGGACAAUGAGCUGGAAGACUGCCUGGGUCUCUGUGGGAGUAAUAGACUUCAAAGGACCAUACACCAGAAAGCGGGGGAAGGAGUGGGAACACUGAAUGACCUGGCUGCAGGACCAAGCAUAAGAGGCCACAGCAGCUCCUGGAGUGAGAGAGGGGCUGCAAACAGUGACAGAGAAGAAGGAAUGGUGUUGUGCAACAGCAGGAAGGGGAAUCAACCUGGUGAUGGCGGUUUCCCUAUGAUAUCAUGUUUGAUGAUAUGCAUUCUAAAUUACUAUACCCCUGCAGAGUUGAGGUAUUAACAAGGAUCCUUCUCAGUCAGCUAAGGUCACCAGUGCUGUCUGUACUGCCCUGGGGGAGCCCAAAUUACAAUUAGGAGCAGUAUCUGCUAUUUGUUCCCCAGCCAUACCUGAGAUGUGCAGGAACUUCAUCUUCACAAAUAGCUCAAGGAAAAGGCCAUGAGAUCCCAACCAGACCCAGACCAGGGAUCCCCUGUACAUCAGCCUCAUUCAGCAAGUCGUGACCCUCCUGCUGCGAAAUCUGACUCUGGUGUGGGAGAAUCUUACCCCCCCCUCCACCCCAGACCCCACAGUGGGGUCUUGUCAGGAAUCCAGGAAGCAAUCUUAUAUGCAUGAGACUAAGUCUUCCUCUAAAUCCACUUUGAAGAAGUUAGAUUUGGCUCUAAACAAGCCCAUCAACUCAGGAUGUCCUAAGUCCUCAUGGGCCAAAUUAGAGAUGCACAACAAGAAGCCCAUA